AGCUGCAUAGUUCAUUGGCGGGAGGGAACAGCAGUUUAAAAAAAAAAAUAGAGGGAAGUCCCUUAUGCUGCCUGUUACGUCCUCUGCUAGUCAUGUGGUUGGCAAUGGACUUUGUAGGGCCUCUGUGUGUUGGGAUGGCUUGUGAAAACUAUAUUGUUUGCAGAUUGCUGAAGAAGGAGCUCCAGAUCCCACCUGGAAGUCAUCAGGAGUGACUGGCUGUGACUAGUGGCAUUGUGCUCCUCCCUCCUCCAGCAUCGGCUCUUGCCUGCUUGGUGUUCCCUGGCUUGUCACCGUCCACUGACUGCCUGCAGCAAGUUGCCUUACCUGGACUCCAAGGCUUUCAUCCUCCUGGAGAUCUUCUGUCAUCUGAAAAGCACACCUGCUGCCUUUGUGAACAUCAGCCACGCCACCUAGGACGCCAUACCUACCUCGUCGGGAGCCAUCCAUCAGCUGUCCAUGCCACUACUGGCUGAACGAACAUCGUGGAGCUUUUGUGUCCUGCAUCUUUUCUGCACUGGAGCCAAUGAACCUGCCAUAACACAACAGACCUCACCACUAGUUUGCCACACCUUCUGACCUGUGGGCUUGGUCCACGGCCACAACUCCUCCUCUCACAAAAUCCCAACCAUCACCACAUCUGUGCAUAAAUGCUGCAACCAAACUCUCAGUCGGGGAAGCUUGGAUUUAGUGAGACCAAUUCGCCCUAGUGCCUCUUGUGUCUAUGUGGUCUGCAGGUUCUGUAAUCAUUGAGCAGUGGCUAAGUGAAAAUUAGAGCAGUGAGAAGCUACCUGUCUUGAAGACUGGCUCCUGUUAGUAGCCUGCUAAUUUGGUGAGAACCUACUUCUGACUUCUUUGCGUAUUGUCUUAAAUGUGGGUGUUUUGAGGUACCACAUUUAUCUAGUUACUCCGCCAAUGCACGCUGCAGAGUUAUGUGACGAUCGACAUACGUUUGUCUGUACACAACGUUACUCAAAAACAGAAUAACAGAUUUGGAUGAAAUUUUCAGGGAAGGCCAGAAAUGAUGUAAGGACCACCUCAUUGGAUUUUGGCAUUGAUGCAGCUUAGUCUGGAUCUCUGGAUUUGUUAAGGAUUUCUGUAUCAUUGCGAUAUGACAUCACUGUAACCAUGACAAGUGAACGCUACGUCAGCUGCCUGCUGACGAUCAAAUGAUUACAAUCCUACUAUAAAUCCACUGCUACAGACUUACUGGGACUUUUCUGUCAGAAAUGAUACAAGGAACAAUUGAUUAAAGUGUGAGGGUGUUUCAGAGUCCCUUCAAUUCCCGCUGCCUGCUACAUAUUUAUGUCACGCGAUUCAGUAUCCAUGCAUAACGUAUGCAUACCACAUGCCUGUGCUAAGCUCAUCGUCAUUUUGUUUAUAGGUAAAUCUAUAUUAAAUGGCCACAUUCUAUGUUGCUGUGAUUUCUGAGCAUCAAUAACUAAUAAAACAUGUUGUGUUUCUGACAAUG